rnacentral:hammerhead_ribozyme from 1 species
AUCCAGCUGACGAGUCCCAAAUAAGAUUGAACGUGUGUCCUGGAU